rnacentral:rRNA from 1 species
UACGAAGGGGGCUAGCGUUGCUCGGAAUUACUGGGCGUAAAGGGCGCGUAGGCGGCUUUUCAAGUGACGGGUGAAAUCCCUCGGCUUAACCGAGGAACUGCCUGUCAGACUGGAAGGCUUGAGACCGGGAGAGGUGAGUGGAAUUCCCAGUGUAGCGGUGAAAUGCGUAGAUAUUGGGAGGAACACCAGUGGCGAAGGCGGCUCACUGGACCGGAACUGACGCUGAGGCGCGAAAGCGUGGGGAGCAAACAGG